UGGCUUUAUGGGGUGCAGCAGGCGCGAAACCUCCGCAAUGCGGGCAACCGCGACGGGGGGACCCCCAGUGCCGUGGCAUCGCCACGGCUUUUCCGGAGUGUAAAAAGCUCCGGGAAUAAGGGCUGGGCAAGGCCGGUGGCAGCCGCCGCGGUAAUACCGGCGGCCCGAGUGGUGGCCGCUAUUAUUGGGCCUAAAGCGUCCGUAGCCGGGCCCGUAAGUCCCUGGCGAAAUCCCACGGCUCAACCGUGGGGCUUGCUGGGGAUACUGCGGGCCUUGGGACCGGGAGAGGCCGGGGGUACCCCUGGGGUAGGGGUGAAAUCCUAUAAUCCCAGGGGGACCGCCAGUGGCGAAGGCGCCCGGCUGGAACGGGUCCGACGGUGAGGGACGAAGGCCAGGGGAGCGAACCGGAUUAGAUACCCGGGUAGUCCUGGCUGUAAAGGAUGCGGGCUAGGUGUCGGGCGAGCUUCGAGCUCGCCCGGUGCCGAAGGGAAGCCGUUAAGCCCGCCGCCUGGGGAGUACGGCCGCAAGGCUGAAACUUAAAGGAAUUGGCGGGGGAGCACUGAAACG
rnacentral:rRNA from 1 species